UACGACGGGUGCAAGCGUUGCUCGGAAUCAUUGGGCGUAAAGGGCAAGUAGGUGGUCUUGUUUGUCUGACGUGAAAUCCUUGGGCUCAACCUAAGAAGUGCGUCGGAAACGGCAAGACUAGAGUCCUAGAGAGGGUCGCGGAAUUCCCGGUGUAGCGGUGAAAUGCGUAGAGAUCGGGAGGAACACCAGAGGCGAAAGCGGCGGCCUGGACAGGUACUGACACUCAACUGCGAAAGCGUGGGGAUCAAACAGG
rnacentral:rRNA from 1 species